ensembl:lncRNA
CUUGAAGUCACCCUGGAUUAUUCUUUUGGAUAACGCAGAGUGAAGAAAGAAAAUUUUACGUGUGUUCUCCUCUCACAGCUGCUGACAGGAUUUUUGGUAUAUGGCAUGUGGAUGGUACACGUGCGGGUCACCACUUAAAGAACGCUCGCCGUUUGGCAGUACAAUGAAGACCAGAAGAGUAGCGAAUGGCCUCCUCUGAGGCAGAGACCUUCAGACAUGCCACUCCACCGACACAAUGACAUGAAACUGAGUGAAACUUUCACAUUAUUCUGACAAAGAGAUUGUUUAAAUCUCAGUUAUUAUAUGCCG